rnacentral:rRNA from 1 species
UAGAGAUAGAGCCUUCCCCUUCGGGGGACAAAGUGACAGGUGGUGCAUGGUUGUCGUCAGCUCGUGUCGUGAGAUGUUGGGUUAAGUCCCGCAACGAGCGCAACCCUUAAGCUUAGUUGCCAUCAUUAAGUUGGGCACUCUAAGUUGACUGCCGGUGACAAACCGGAGGAAGGUGGGGAUGACGUCAAAUCAUCAUGCCCCUUAUGAUUUGGGCUACACACGUGCUACAAUGGACAAUACAAAGGGCAGCGAAACCGCGAGGUCAAGCAAAUCCCAUAAAGUUGUUCUCAGUUCGGAUUGUAGUCUGCAACUCGACUACAUGAAGCUGGAAUCGCUAGUAAUCGUAGAUCAGCAUGCUACGGUGAAUACGUUCCCGGGUCUUGUACACACCGCCCGUCACACCACGAGAGUUUG